rnacentral:rRNA from 1 species
CCUACGGGAGGCAGCAGUGAGGAAUAUUGGUCAAUGGGCGGGAGCCUGAACCAGCCAAGUCGCGUGAGGGACGAAGGUCCUAUGGAUUGUAAACCUCUUUUGUCAAGGAACAAAGUCAGGCACGGGUGCGCGGAUGAGUGUACCCGAAGAAAAAGCAUCGGCUAACUCCGUGCCAGCAGCCGCGGUAAUACGGAGGAUGCGAGCGUUAUCCGGAUUUAUUGGGUUUAAAGGGUGCGUAGGCGGGCUGUUAAGUCAGCGGUAAAAGUGCGGGGCUCAACCCCGUACAGCCGUUGAAACUGGCAGUCUUGAGUGGUCUAGAGGUAUGCGGCAUGCGUUGUGUAGCGGU